rnacentral:rRNA from 1 species
ACUAAUACCGCAUAAGACCACGGGAUGACAUCGUCCAGGGGUCAAAGGAGCAAUCCGGUAAGGGGUGGGCUCGCGUCCGAUUAGAUAGUUGGUGAGGUAACGGCCCACCAAGUCGACGAUCGGUAGCCGACCUGAGAGGGUGAUCGGCCACAUUGGGACUGAGACACGGCCCAAACUCCUACGGGAGGCAGCAGUGGGGAAUAUUGGGCAAUGGGGGGAACCCUGACCCAGCAACGCCGCGUGAGGGAAGAAGGUUUUCGGAUCGUAAACCUCUGUCCCAGGUGAAGAGUGAGAGACGGUAGCCUGGGAGGAAGCCCCGGCUAACUACGUGCCAGCAGCCGCGGUAAUACGUAGGGGGCGAGCGUUGUCCGGAAUGAUUGGGCGUAAAGGGCGCGUAGGCGGCCCGGUAAGUCUGGAGUGAAAGUCCUGCUUUUAAGGUGGGAAUUGCUUUGGAUACUGUCGGGCUUGAGUGCAGGAGAGGUAAGUGGAAUUCCCAGUGUAGCGGUGAAAUGCGUAGAGAUUGGGAGGAACACCAGUGGCGAAGGCGACUUACUGGACUGUAACUGACGCUGAGGCGCGA